AGGGCACAAGCCUAGAAGAAACAGGCCAAGAUUCUCUGAUAACCCACGACACCUGCGGGAGGGACCGCGUCCUUCAGAUUCAUCCGCCAGGGCACCUGGCCCCACUCCCCUCCCUUUGAUCCAGUGUUCCACACACACCCCAGGAGCUGAAGGGAGGGGGAAGAUGACGUAUGGACCUGAGUUUCUCCUGAAAUGCUCCCCUGCACCUGUGCUCACGGCUGCACAUUCAGUGCUUUCUGACUUGGUGUUCAAGAUGUGUACUGCUUGACUUCAAAACUCAAAAGGAAGUUGCCUGGCGGGAGGCCUUGAACCGCUUGCCUUCUGGCCUUGGCCACUGGCUUGACGGGUGUCACCGAGUCUCCUGGGAGAGCUGGCAGCUGAUGAAAUCCCAGAGGCCCUGAACCUCCCUUCCAAUGAAUGCUCUUAUUUGCAGAUCCGGGUUCAGAACAGGAACUGCAGGUUGGAAAUUGGUCAGAAGGUAGAGUUACCGACAGAGCAGAUUUGCUUCCAGCUGCUUCAGAAAGAGAGAAUUGUCCAUCUGAUUUUGCAGAUUAAAAGCUCCCCUGUUUAUGAA